AGUGAACGCUGGCGGUAGGCCUAACACAUGCAAGUCGAACGGCAGCACAGUAAGAGCUUGCUCUUACGGGUGGCGAGUGGCGGACGGGUGAGGAAUACAUCGGAAUCUACUUUUUCGUGGGGGAUAACGUAGGGAAACUUACGCUAAUACCGCAUACGACCUACGGGUGAAAGCAGGGGAUCUUCGGACCUUGCGCGAUUGAAUGAGCCGAUGUCGGAUUAGCUAGUUGGCGGGGUAAAGGCCCACCAAGGCGACGAUCCGUAGCUGGUCUGAGAGGAUGAUCAGCCACACUGGAACUGAGACACGGACCAGAGUCCUACGGGAGGCAGCAGUGGGGAAUAUUGGACAAUGGGCGCGAGCCUGAUCCAGCCAUACCGCGUGGGUGAAGAAGGCCUUCGGGUUGUAAAGCCCUUUUGUUGGGAAAGAAAAGCAGCAGGUUAAUACCCCGCUGUUCUGACGGUACCCAAAGAAUAAGCACCGGCUAACUUCGUG
rnacentral:rRNA from 1 species